CGGGGGACGCGCUUGCGCGUCCCGCCCGGCGACCGGCGCACGGGUGAGUAACACGUAUGCAACCUGCCCCCGCCAGGGGUACAACCCUCCGAAAGGGGGGCUGAUACCGCGUACAUCCCCUGGGGGCAUCCCCGGGGGAGGAAAGCCCUUUUGGGCGGGCGGGGAUGGGCAUGCGGCGCAUUAGGAAGACGGCGGUGUGACGGACCACCGUUCCGACGAUGCGUAGGGGUUCUGAGGGGAAGGCCCCCCACACUGGUACUGAGACACGGACCAGACUCCUACGGGAGGCAGCAG
rnacentral:rRNA from 1 species